rnacentral:rRNA from 1 species
AUGAUGGAAAAACUGCUAGCUAACACUUUCACAGGAGAUGGAACAAAGCAUCCUGACGAACAUCUAUGCAUUGUGGAUGAUAUUUGUGGACUAUUUAAGCCUGCAGGUGUACCCGAUGAUGUCGUUAAGAGGAAGACUUUCCCUUUAUCUUUGGAGAGAGACGCAUUGACAUGGUAUAGGCUAUGUGAUGAUACGAGAUCAUGGAACUAUAAAAGAUUGAAAUUGAAAUUUCAUCAAAAGUAUUACCCUAUGCAUCUUGUUCAUCGUGAUCGCAAUUAUAUAUAUAAUUUUUGGCCUCGCGAAGGAGAAAGCAUCGCUCAAGCUUGGGGGAGGCUUAAAUCAAUGUUAUAUUCAUGCCCCAAUCAUGAGCUCUCAAAAUUGACAAUUCUCCAGAACUUUUAUGCUCGGCUUUCUGAAAAUAAUCGCACCAUGCUCGAUACUUCUUGUGCUGGCUCUUUUAUGAUGAAGUCUAUUGAAUUUGGAUGGAAUUUAUUGGAUAGAAUUAAACGCAACUCUGAAGAUUGGGACCUCGACGAAGGUAAGGAGUCAGGUAUGACACCUAAGUUUGAUUGUAUUAAAUCUUUUAUGGAUACCGAUAUUUUUCAUAAUUUAGCACUUAAUAUGGACUUGACUCUGAGAUAG